rnacentral:rRNA from 1 species
AUUGAACGCUGGCGGCGUGCCUAAUACAUGCAAGUCGAGCGAACAAAGGAGGCUCUUUCCUCUCUUCCGCUACCGACGGGUGGGUAAUUAAUACGUAGCUGCCUUAUCUUUGAGACUGACAUCACUUCACGAACCCUGAUCUAAUAUCCGUUCUUAUAUUGAACCUCAUGGUUCUUUGGUCCACGCCCUAUCUGCUGUCCCUAGUUGAUGUUUCCUCGCCGCAUUAGCUAGUUGGUACGGUAACGGCUUACCAAGGCGACGAUGCGUAGCCGAUCUGAGAGGAUGAUCGGCCACACUGGAACUGAGACACGGUCCAGACUCCUACGGGAGGCAGCAGUAGGGAAUCUUCGGCAAUGGGCGAAAGCCUGACGGAGCAACGCCGCGUGAGUGAAGAAGGUCUUCGGAUCGUAAAACACUGUUAGUAGGGAAGAACAAAAGUGAAAGUAAAUAUGCACGUCUUGACGGUACCAAAAGAGAAAGCAACGGCUAACUACGUG